rnacentral:lncRNA from 1 species
AGUUUCACCCAAAAAGCUUCACCUAAAAAAGCUUCACCCAAAAAAAAAACUUCACCUCCAAAAAGCUUCACCCAAACAGCUUCACCUAAAAAAGCUUCACCCACAAAGCUUCACCUAAAAAGCUUCACCCACACAGCUUCACCCAAAAAAACUUCACCCGAAAAGCUUCACUUAAAAAAGCUUCACCUACAAAGCUUCACCUAAAAAAGCUUCACCUACAAAGCUUCACCUAAAAAAGCUUCACCUACAAAGCUUCAACACA